ACGUGUCUUUACUUGCCUUUAAGUGCUUUUUCGAGCCUUGAGAGGCUCCUACCGAGGGCACUGAGUUCAGCCCAUAAGAUGGUACCAACUCGUCCAAACCACCCGGGCUGAGUGCUGAUAAUGGCGCUGACCCAUCCCGGCACAUUGAGCUUGGCCCAACUAGUGGCAUGGACUCAUCCAAGCUUCAUGGGCGCGUCCCAAGUCCAGCCUAGACCAAGAAUGGUUCCACCUUCACUGUGUAAAUGUACGCACGUGAGUGAUUCUUUUAUUCACUGUGGUGUUUGACCUGGAAUGACUUGUAUAAGCCUUGAAAUUAUGUUAUAUUUGGAUUUUUAUCAAACCAUACAUCUGAUUUUACAAUAUAAUGCAUUCUGCAUGUUGACUAGGUAUGCUCAUGCCUUAUUGUCACUUGAAUGUGUCAUAGUUUUUAGGAACGGAGGUGGCUUUCUCUUUUUCUUUCUGUGACAUACUUGUGUUGGCUUUGUUUCUCAUUUCUGCAGAUGAUUACUUUCUCUCUCUCAGAAAUGGUGCACGAAGUUUGUUGGGUAUCUGAAUAGCUGUAGGGGAGGCAGUUGCAUACGUCUAUCUGGGAUGUAUGGAAAUGUUAGCCAACUUGGAGUUGGGAAUGCCAUUCU
rnacentral:lncRNA from 1 species